rnacentral:rRNA from 1 species
UACAGAGGGUGCGAGCGUUGUCCGGAAUCACUGGGCGUAAAGGGCGCGUAGGCGGCCUGAUAAGUAGGGGGUGAAAUCCUGUGGCUUAACUGCAGGGCUGCCUCCUAGACUGUUAGGCUCGAGCACGGUAGAGGCAGAUGGAAUUCCCGGUGUAGCGGUGGAAUGCGUAGAGAUCGGGAAGAACAUCCGUGGCGAAAGCGGCUCUCUGGAACGGUACUGACGCUGAGACGCGAAAGCGUGGGGAGCGAACAGG